rnacentral:rRNA from 1 species
GACGGAGGGUGCAAGCGUUAAUCGGAAUUACUGGGCGUAAAGCGUGCGCAGGCGGUUUGUUAAGUCUGCUGUGAAAUCCCCGAGCUCAACUUGGGAAUUGCAGUGGAUACUGGCAGGCUGGAGUAUGGUAGAGGAAGGUGGAAUUCCCGGUGUAGCAGUGAAAUGCGUAGAGAUCGGGAGGAACACCAGUGGCGAAGGCGGCCUUCUGGACCAAUACUGACGCUCAUGCACGAAAGCGUGGGGAGCAAACAGG